rnacentral:piRNA from 1 species
GGCUAAAUUCCCAAGUGUGCUACAAGC